rnacentral:lncRNA from 1 species
GACACAAAAUCUUGAAGGUGAUAUAACUUUUGCAAUACAGUUGAACCCCUUUAUAACAGGCAUGCACUGGGAAGCAAUUCUUGUCUCUUAUAUGAGGUCUCUCUUAUAAGCAGGGUACCACGUACGCAUUUUCUUAUCAACCCCUAUUUCAAUGUAGGCACACUAGUCUCUCUUAUACCCAUUUGUCUCUUACAUCAAUGUCUCUUAUAAAGGGGUUCGACUGUAUAUGUCUGAUUGAGCCUU